rnacentral:rRNA from 1 species
CGCGUAGUUAGCCGGGGCUUCUUAGUCAGGUACCGUCAUUUUCUUCCCUGCUGAUAGAGCUUUACAUACCGAAAUACUUCCUCACUCACGCGGCGUCGCUGCAUCAGGGUUUCCCCCAUUGUGCAAUAUUCCCCACUGCUGCCUCCCGUAGGAGUUUGGGCCGUGUCUCAGUCCCAAUGUGGCCGGUCGCCCUCUCAGGUCGGCUACUGAUCGUCGGCUUGGUAGGCUUCUACCCCACCAACUACCUAAUCAGACGCGGGCCCAUCUUACACCACCUCAGUUUUUACCUCUGUACCAUGCGGUACUGGGGUCUUAUGCGGUAUUAGCAAUCAUUUCUAAUUGUUAUCCCCCUGUGUAAGGCAGGUUGCCCACGCGUUACUCACCCGUCCGCCGCUAAGUCACCCUCUCUUCCCUCCGAAGAGUUCUAAAAAGUGCUUCGCUCGACUUGCAUGUGUUAAGCACGCCGCCAGCGUUCAUCCUGAGCCAGGAUCAAACUCU